rnacentral:rRNA from 1 species
AUGGAUCUGCUGCUACCGCCGAUCAGUGCUUCUCUUGGUGCCAUGGGCUCCCUUGCACACAAGCUGGAUGCGCUCCUCGAUACAGAACACAAGGAUGAGAUGGGGAAACUCGGAACCCGGCUGCUGGAGCUCUCCAAGGCACGAGACCCUCCCGUUACAGCGAGGAUCUGGAUGAAGGAUGUGCGUGAACUAUCCUAUGAUAUGGAGAACUUUGUCGACACUGAAGAAGAUUGGAUCCACAACAUGUCACCAUUCAUGGGCCGUGUGAAGGAAGCAAAUGCACGGUACGAGAGGUACAGGCUUGAGAGCAUCCCCAGCCACACAGAUGUCUUUCCAAUCAUCCACCACCGUGGCCGGGAGACAGGUCUAGUCGUCGGCCUUCAUGACAAGGGUGGCCCGGUUGAUAGGCUCUGCCAAUUGCUGACCGAUGGAGAUGAGCAGCUCAAGGUGUUAUCCAUUGUCGGUGUUGGAGGGAUCGGGAAGACCACGCUUGCCAAACAGCUAUGGCGUGAGCACAAACUCAGGGACUACUUCCACUGCCGGGCUUUUGUCCGGACGGCCAAGAAACCAGACAUGAGGAGGAUCCUAAGGAGCAUACUCGCACAAGUUCGUCCGCACCAACCACCUGAUGCUAGCGAGGUGGACGACCUCAUUCACGAUCUCACCGAGCAUCUACAGGAUAAAAGGUAUAUUAUUAUAAUUGAUGACAUAUGGGCUACAUCAGUAUGGGAUGUUGCUACAUGUGCUUUCCCAGAGGGUAAUCAUGGAAGCAGGAUAAUAACAACAACAGAAAUUGAGGAUGUUGCCCUAGCAUGCUGUAGUUACCAGUCCAAGUACAUAUUUAAGAUGGAGCCUCUCAGUGUCAGUCAAUCAAAAGAAUUGUUCACCAAUGCAGUGUUUGGCUCUGGAAAAGAGAAAUCUCCCCAAUUAGAUGAAGUGUCAGAUGAGAUUAUAAGAAUAUGUGAUGGUUUACCACAGGCAAUUAUCAGCAUAUCCAGUGUUCUAGUAAGCCAUAGGGAAGCAAAUGCGGUAGAGAACUGGGAGCACGUACAGAACAAUUUGCCAACAAGUACAACUUCCGACGAGAUACUGAACUUUUGCUACAAUAGUCUUCCCAGUUGUGUUCAGACAUGUCUGUUGUAUCUUGGCAUAUACCCGGAGAACUAUAUAAUCUUGAAGGAGGAUAUAAUGAAGCAAUGGGUAGCUGAAUGUUUUAUCCGUGCACCAACAGAGAAAGAAAAAAUGGAAGUGGCCGGGAGCUAUUUUGAUAUGCUUGUAAAUAUGGGCAUGAUCCAACAUAUAGACGUAGACUAUAGCAAUACGGUAUUGUACUAUGCAGUGAAUCACAUGGUACAUGAUCUUAUUACUUCUAAGUCCAUAGAAGAUAAUUUUAUCACUGUGAUAGAUUAUUCUCAGAGGCAAUUGCGGCUUUCUAACAAGGUUAGUCGUUUGUCCCUCCAGUUUGGCGGUGCAUCAUUUGCAACUACACCAGCAAGUACUGGACUAUCACAAAUUCGGUCGCUUACUUUUAUUGGACUGAUGAGCUGCUUUCCUUCAGUUGUGGAGUUUAAGCUUCUUCGAUUUCUGAACCUUCAUAUUUGGAGUGAUCAACCAAGCACAUACUUCGACCUCAGGGUUAUCUGUGAAUUUGGUCUGUUGAGAUAUUUGCAGGUCACCUGCAGCGACACCGUAUAUCUUCCAGAUCAGAUGCAAGGUCUGAAACACUUGGAAACACUUGAAAUAAAUGCAAGAGUAAUAGUUAUUCCAUCGGAUGUUGUUCAUCUUCAGAGCUUGUUGCAUCUCCGUCUCGGAGGUGGGACAGAACUGCCUGAUGUGACUGGUAUACCCAGAAAUGUCACUGUGCCUAGUGUUGCCAAUUUAUUGGAUGAGUCAAGCAGUCCUCCAAAAUCAGUGAUGACAAUCGAGUUGUUGCCACCCAUUUGUAGAAUCCCCGAGUGGAUUGGACAGCUUAACAACCUCUGCAUUCUGAAAGUUGUCGUCGGUGAACUGCUAAGGGAUGAUAUCCAUAUCCUGGGAGGAUUGCCAGCCCUGACUGUUCUCACAUUGCAUGUCCAGCGACGAACUACAGAACUAAUUGGCUUCACACCUGGAGCAUUUAAUGCUCUAGAAUAUUUUGAGUUCAGGUGUGGCGUACUGCGCCUGAUGUUUGAGGAAGGAGCAAUGCCUAAUCUUCAGAGGAUUAAGCUAGGUUUCAAUUCUCACAGAGGAGAACAGUACGGUCGUUUGCUUGUGGGCAUUGAGCACCUGUCAAACGUCCAGGAGAUUUCUGGAAUAAUUGGGUGA